GAUGAACGCUGGCGGCGUGCCUAACACAUGCAAGUCGAACGGACAGACCAUGAGCUUGCGCCUCUGACGUUAGCGGCGGGCGGGUGAGUAACACGUGGAUAACCUACCUAUAUUUCUGGGAUAACUUCGUAAAACCGGCUCUAAUACCGGAUAAUAUAUUGAACCGCAUGGUUCAAUGGUUAAAUACGGUUUUUCUGUCACUUAUAGCUGCUUCCGCGCCGCAUUAGCUAGUUGGUAAGGUAACGGCUUACCACGGCUACGAUGCGUAGCCGACCUGAGAGGGUGAUCGGCCACACUGGAACUGAGACACGGUCCAGACUCCUACGGGAGGCAGCAGUAGGGAAUCUUCCGCAAUGGGCGAAAGCUUGACGGAGCAACGCCGCGUGAGUGAUGAAGGUCUUCGGAUCGUAAAACUCUGUUAUUAGGGAAGAACAAAUGUGUAAGUAAAUAUGCACGUAUUGACGGUACCUAAUCAGAAAGCAACGGCUAACUACGUG
rnacentral:rRNA from 1 species